rnacentral:rRNA from 1 species
GAUGAACGCUGGCGGCGUGCCUAAUACAUGCAAGUCGAGCGAACGGACGAGAAGCUUGCUUUUCUGAUGUUAGCGGCGGACGGGUGAGUAACACGUGGAUAACCUACCUAUAAGACUGGGAUAACUUCGGGAAACCGGAGCUAAUACCGGAUAAUAUUUUGAACCGCAUGGUUCAAAAGUGAAAGACGGUCUUGCUGUCACUUAUAGAUGGGUCCGCGCUGCAUUAGCUAGUUGGUAAGGUAACGGCUUACCAAGGCAACGAUGCGUAGCCGACCUGAGAGGGUGAUCGGCCACACUGGAACUGAGACACGGUCCAGACUCCUACGGGAGGCAGCAGUAGGGAAUCUUCCGCAAUGGGCGAAAGCCUGACGGAGCAACGCCGCGUGAGUGAUGAAGGUCUUCGGAUCGUAAAACUCUGUUAUUAGGGAAGAACAUAUGUGUAAGUAACUGUGCACAUCUUGACGGUACCUAAUCAGAAAGCCACGGCUAACUACGUG